rnacentral:misc_RNA from 1 species
UGCUCAAGAACAUUCGAUUUCUCACCUAUUUGCCGAAAUGUCAAGUUAAUAUCUUCAGCUGUUUGUGCUUCCAAUACUGGCAUUCCAGAAUCUUCCUGUACUGAACUUGACACAUUAAACACCACUUCAUCGUCAGAAUUAACGGAUUCUUCAGUUACAAGCUUAGCAUUAGGCAGCUCAAGCACAUUCGAAUGAACUAUUUCUUCGUCAGAACUAAUUCUCAAUGCAGACUCAAUAUCUUCAAUAUUUUGUGCUUCCACC